rnacentral:rRNA from 1 species
GAUGAACGCUAGCGAUAGGCUUAACACAUGCAAGUCGAGGGGCAGCAUGGUCUUAGCUUGCUAAGACUGAUGGCGACCGGCGCACGGGUGCGUAACGCGUAUGCAACUUGCCUCACAGAGGGGGAUAACCCGUCGAAAGACGGACUAAUACCGCGUACACCCCAGCUUGGGCAUCCAAGCUAGAGGAAAUGGACUUCGCUGUGAGAUAGGCAUGCGUCCCAUUAGCUAGUUGGUGAGGUAACGGCUCACCAAGGCGACGAUGGGUAGGGGAACUGAGAGGUUGAACCCCCACACUGGUACUGAGACACGGACCAGACUCCUACGGGAGGCAGCAGUGAGGAAUAUUGGUCAAUGGGCGAGAGCCUGAACCAGCCAAGUCGCGUGAAGGAUGACUGUCUUAUGGAUUGUAAACUUCUUUUAUACGGGAAUAACAAGAGCCACGUGUGACUCCCUGCAUGUACCGUAUGAAUAAGCAUCGGCUAACUCCGUGCCAGCAGCCGCGGUAAUACGGAGGAUGCGAGCGUUAUCCGGAUUUAUUGGGUUUAAAGGGUGCGUAGGCGGCCUGUUAAUUCAUCGGUGAAAUCUAGGAGCUUAACUCCUAAAUUGCCAUUGAUACUGGCGGGCUUGAGUGUAGAUGAGGUAGGCGGAAUGCGUGGUGUAGCGGUUGGAAUGCAUAGAUAUCACGUGGAACUCCGAUUGCGAAUGCAUCUUUGCUAAGGUCAACUGACGUGGAAUCGCGAAUGCUUGGUUAUGAGACAUGAUUGGAUAUCCUUGUGGGCCCGUGUCGAAUUCCCAGUUGAAGUUGAUGGUGAUCGGAUCCGUGAGUGCGGGGAUGAAAAACGGUGACCAUGUUGUGUUUGCUUGUGUGAAGUGUAAUAUAAUGCCUCCCCCCCCCAUGCCUGUGUGUGG